rnacentral:misc_RNA from 1 species
GAUGAAGAACGCAGUGAAAUGCGAUAAGUAGUGUGAAUUGCAGAAUUCCGUGAAUCAUCGAAUCUUUGAACGCACCUUGCGCCUUUUGGUAUUCCGAAAGGCACACCUGUUUGAGCGUCAUGAAUACCUCAAUCUCCAUCUUUUCUUCGGAUUGAUGGGUGACUUGGAUGUUGAGCCCUGCUGGUAUGCUAUAUCAGCUGGCUUUAAACUUAUUAGCCGGCUCUGUACUGGAUCGGUUUGACUCGACGUGAUAAUAUUAUCGUUGAGGAUGCAUGUCUCAUGCAGCCGGAAAGUAUCAAAGCAGCUUCUAGCUUGCCUUUAGUGCACUUUUACAUUUUAGACCUCAGAUCAGGUGGGACUACCCGCUGAACUUAAGCAUAUCAAUAAGCGGAGGA